AAAAGCUUCAAACUGGGAUUAGAUACCCCACUAUGCACAGCCCUAAACUUAGAUACUCAGUUACACUAUUUAUCCGCCCGAGUACUACGAGCGUUAGCUUAAAACUCAAAGGACUUGGCGGUGCUUUACAUCCACCUAGAGGAGCCUGUUCUAUAACCGAUAACCCCCGUUAAACCUCACCCUCUCUUGUCAUUUCCCGCCUAUAUACCGCCGUCGUCAGCCUACCCUGUGAAGGUCCUAUAGUUAGCAAAAUUAGCAUAACCCAAAACGCCAGGUCGAGGUGUAGCACAUGAGAGGGGCAGAAAUGGGCUACACUCCCUAACAAAGGAAAUACGAAUAAUGUACUGAAACGUAUAUAUUGAAGGAGGAUUUAGUAGUAAGUAGAAAAUAGAGUGUCUGGGAUCCGGCCUAUACAGCGGUCAAAAAAA
rnacentral:rRNA from 1 species